UCUGCCAGUCUCUGAGAUUAGAACG
rnacentral:piRNA from 1 species